GCCUGGGUGGCUCAGUUGGUUGAGCGUCUGACUUCGGUUCAGGUUGUGAUCUUACGGUUGUGAGUUUGAGCCCCGCGUCGGGCU
rnacentral:tRNA from 1 species